rnacentral:rRNA from 1 species
UGGGGAAUAUUGCACAAUGGGGGAAACCCUGAUGCAGCCAUGCCGCGUGUGUGAAGAAGGCCUUCGGGUUGUAAAGCACUUUCAGCGAGGAGGAAAGGUUGGCGCCUAAUACGUGUCACUGUGACGUUACUCGCAGAAGAAGCACCGGCUAACUCCGUGC